GCAACUUCUCGUUGGUGAAGUUAAUACACAGUUGCUCGAAACCGUUGUACUAAUUUGUGCCCGGGAUUUAUUUGUAGUGAAAGAGGGUGCAGGUGCUAUGCCUUGGAAAAGAUAUUCGAAUAUUCGGUGCUAAAACACACAACAAACAAUCUUUUGGUGCAAGAAGGACACAUAACAUUUGGAGUUCGAUACAGGCCAGCAAGUCCAUACCGAAAUCAAUAAAGUCCCAGUGAAUACCCUCUUUGGUGUAUUCCUCUUGUUCCAAG